AUUGAACGCUGGCGGAAUGCUUUACACAUGCAAGUCGAACGGCAGCACGGACUUCGGUCUGGUGGCGAGUGGCGAACGGGUGAGUAAUGUAUCGGAACGUGCCCAGUCGUGGGGGAUAACGUAGUGAAAAUUACGCUAAUACCGCAUACGAUCUAUGGAUGAAAGCGGGGGAUCGCAAGACCUCGCGCGAUUGGAGCGGCCGAUAUCAGAUUAGGUAGUUGGUGGGGUAAAGGCCCACCAAGCCAACGAUCUGUAGCUGGUCUGAGAGGACGACCAGCCACACUGGAACUGGGACACGGUCGAGACUCCUACGGGAGGCAGCAGUGGGGAGUUUUGGACAAUGGGCAAAAGCCUGAUCCAGCCAUUCCGCGUGCAGGAUGAAGGCCCUCGGGUUGUAAACUGCUUUUGUACAGAACGAAAAGGUUUCUACUAAUACUAGGAGCUCAUGAAGGUACUGUAAGAGUAAGCACCGGCUAACUACGUGCCAGCCGCCGCAGUAA
rnacentral:rRNA from 1 species